rnacentral:rRNA from 1 species
AUUGAACGCUGGCGGCAUGCCUUACACAUGCAAGUCGAACGGUAACGCGGGGCAACCUGGCGACGAGUGGCGAACGGGUGAGUAAUGCAUCGGAACGUGCCCAGUAGUGGGGGAUAGCCCGGCGAAAGCCGGAUUAAUACCGCAUACGACCUAAGGGUGAAAGCGGGGGAUCGCAAGACCUCGCGCUAUUGGAGCGGCCGAUGUCAGAUUAGGUUGUUGGUGAGGUAAAGGCUCACCAAGCCGACGAUCUGUAGCUGGUCUGAGCGGACGACCAGCCACACUGGGACUGAGACACGGCCCAGACUCCUACGGGAGGCAGCAGUGGGGAAUUUUGGACAAUGGGCGCAAGCCUGAUCCAGCCAUGCCGCGUGCGGGAAGAAGGCCUUCGGGUUGUAAACCGCUUUUGUCAGGGAAGAAAUGUUCCGGGCUAAUACCCCGGGAAGAUGACGGUACCUGGAGAAUAAGCACCGGCUAACUACGUGCCAGCAGCCGCAGUAAAAC